GACGGAGGGUGCUAGCGUUGUUCGGAAUCACUGGGCGUAAAGGGCGCGUAGGCGGCCUCAGGUGUCGGAUGUGAAAGCCCGGGGCUCAACCCCGGAGGUGCAUCCGAAACUCUGGGGCUGGAGGUCGGAAGAGGAGGGUGGAAUACCCAGUGUAGAGGUGAAAUUCGUAGAUAUCAAGUGGAACACCGGUGGCGAAGGCGGCCUUCUGGACAGUGACUGACGCUGAGACGCGAAAGCGUGGGGAGCAAACAGG
rnacentral:rRNA from 1 species